rnacentral:lncRNA from 1 species
CACACAACAAACAAGAAACAUCAUCACUAAACCAGACCUCCCAGCACUACAUCAACCCGUCUUUUGAACACCUCCAGGGAUGAUGUGUCCAUACUUCCCCCUUUGACCACCUCCCCCGCAGCCCCCCAAAAGUUUUGACCUUCUUGAAAAAUCCUUCUCUCCCCAGCUCUGAGCUCCUGGGACCCCCAAAAAACCAUAUUCCCUUAUUCUCAUGGACCGUCUGCAGGGCUGGAUCCCUCGGUGGGACGUGGGUCUGGACUCUCUGUCCCGCACGUGGUGGAUACGUGCCAGACGGCAGCACUUUUUUUAAAUAAUCUGUAGCACUCUAAUGUCCGUCCCGCAGGAGCUGAUGAAAUGGGUCCUAUUAUACUUCCUGAGCUAAGCUUGAUCUUUCAUUGUCCCGUCGGCCCAGCUCCCGGCACCGCGAGCUCCAUUUUCACUGCGGACAAUUGCAAAGGCCAAAAGUGGGAAUCACCGGUGGUGGAAAAGUUUUAUGGGUUUCCCUUUUGCCAUUUCCAUCUAGAUGACAUCAUAAAACGCCACAGGAAGGAGCAGACGGAGGGCAGUGCCACGGGGGACCGGCGGCAGCAGCAGGUGAAGAACAGGAACGCGGCGUUUGGGUCCGGGCGGCCCCGAUUCCGCGCCUGGAUGCAGAGGAAUUUGCAAGGGCCUAACCGUUUUAGAAGAGGGUUUGGACAACAACAACACAACCGGAGACAGUUCAGGAACACUGUGCCCGGCCCCAGGAGAAGGGCAGCUGCCGCCUUAAACGGAGUGAGCCCUUUGAAUCGCCAGGCAUCGGCUCAGGAGGGCAACAGGAACGACGAGGCUUUCGCCAAAAGCAGCGGGCAGCCCGAGGGACGGCGACGGCCGCCCCCAGGCCCCAAGAGAUUCCGAGUGGCUGCUGCCAGCACCCACGCCCCGGGGAGAAGGCCUUUCCUGCUGAACCGGGGACCAGCCUUCCAGCAGAAGCGGAUGCCGCAGUGGUUCUCCAAAGCCAACUUUCAGAGAGGGCAGAUGGAUGCUAAUGGAGAAGGGAAACCACCCAGGAGGAGAAGGUGGCAAGUGAAGCCCAGCCCCGGAGCGGUUCUGACGGUUUCUGUGGCUAAUCCCCAGGCGGGCCAGGCCGGCGCGCCCGGAUCCAAGCGGCCGUUCCUGCGAAGCCGGAGGCCCCCACCACCACCAGCCAAGCCCCAGCCCAAGGGGGUGCUGCUGAGGUUCAACUUCCGCGCCAUGGCCAACCAGGCCAGCCAAAGCCAUCUCCAGACUAACCUCUGGUGGGGUCGAGAGGUUUAGAAGUGCAGGAGGAACCAUACAGGGUCAGGAGAGAGUCCCCGUGGAGCAUCCCCGGGAUUGGGACACCAGGACCAAACCAAACACACAGCGAUUUCUUCCUUUAGCCCUGGUAUCUUUGUGUUUAACAGCAUUUGGUGGGGUUUUCUUCCACUGUUGCCUUUUGCUGUUUGCUUUCUGUCUAUUUGUCUGCCUCCAGAGGCCAGUAUUACAAGUGAAUAUUUGUUCCUGUAUGCCCUUCACAAUUUAUAGACCCAUGCCGUGUUCUCCCUUCCUCACCACCUUUCUAGAAGAACCUCAGUGUAUCUACUUGUUCACUGCCACCUUCUGGAUAUAUAUAUAUAUUUUUUUUUUUAGUGUAUAUAAAUUUGUAAUAAAGAUAUCUUAAAAUAAACUAUGUUUAUAUUA